rnacentral:lncRNA from 1 species
CGCGCGCAUUGGAUCACGAGCCGAUGGAUGGAUGGAUGGAUGGAUGGAUGGAUCGGAUGGAUGGGAAAAGAAGGAGAAUUGUCCCGUCUCUCUAUGCUCUCUCGUCGCGACGAGAGCCGCCCGCGCCAGCUAGCCUUUGCCGGCAUGGUAAUUUGUGUGGACGUGCACGCGCGUGCGUCGCGUGACCCCUCAAACAUUUGUGCCGUACGUCAUUUUGAUCGAUAGAUCUCUCCGGUGCACGCGUGAAACGUAUGCUUUUAGGUGCUAGAGACCAAACCUUUGGUGCGGUUGUCCGAUGCGCCAUCCGAGAUGACAUGAGGAUAAAACGGAGGAAUGCAAUGUAUAUGAACUGAAAGAGAAGAAGGGCUGCGUUGGCCGCCGACGGGAAACACCUCAUGCAAGUGGUAUGGUGCAAAAAAAAGAACGGAUUUUAAAAAACAAAAAUCUCUGCAUAAACAUUCCCUCUUGAGUUUUAGAGAGCAAAUGUAUGGUUGCUGUCAAAUACAUGUGCUUGGCGAUUGAGAGAGAGAUGUGGUGAGGAGAGAGGAAGAGAUGCAGGAGAGUACAGUACAAAAGAAGGACUGACCAGUGACAACCAAUGGCGGCAGGCAGUGGCGGAGCCAGAAACCGAACAAGAAGGGUG